rnacentral:rRNA from 1 species
UAGUCCUAGCUGUAAACGAUAAGAGCUAGUUGUCUGCAAGCAUGCUUGUAGGUGACGCAGCUAACGCAUUAAGCUCUCCGCCUGGGGAGUACGGUCGCAAGAUUAAAACCCAAAGAAAUUGACGGGGGCCCGCACAAGCGGUGGAGCAUGUGGUUUAAUUCGAAGCAACGCGCAGAACCUUACCUACCCUUGACAUGCCGGUCGCGAUUUCCAGAGAUGGAUUUCAUCAAUUCGGUUGGACCGUGCACAGGUGCUGCAUGGCCGUCGUCAGCUCGUGUCGUGAGAUGUUGGGUUAAGUCCCGCAACGAGCGCAACCCUCACUUUUAGUUGCCAGCAUUUAGUUGGGCACUCUAGAAGAACUGCCGGUGCUAAGCCGGAGGAAGGUGGGGAUGACGUCAGGUCCUCAUGGCCCUUACGGGUAGGGCUACACACGUGCUACAAUGGCGCUGACAGAGGGUUAAUCCCUAAAAGGCGUCUCAGUUCGGAUUGUCCUCUG